rnacentral:rRNA from 1 species
UACGAAGGUGGCAAGCGUUGUUCGGAUUUACUGGGCGUACAGGGAGCGUAGGCGGUUGGAUAAGCCCUCCGUGAAAUCUCCAGGCUUAACCUGGAAAGUGCAGAGGGGACUGUUCAGCUAGAGGAUGGGAGAGGAGCGCGGAAUUCCCGGUGUAGCGGUGAAAUGCGUUGAUAUCAUCAGGAACACCGGUGGCGAAAGCGGCGUCACUCGG